UAUUCACGAGCGAGUUAUCUCGUUUCUCUCCUGCAAAUCGAAACCGAAAGAAUUCAAAAUCCUUCUUCCAGAAAUUAUUUGCUUUGCUAGAUGAAUCACGUUACAAUGGUAUUGUUGUCGUGUAUUCUGGAGUUUGGAACAACGAACAGGUACAGAAAAUAGUGUCAUUGUUCUGAAAUACAAGUGCGGAUGUACGUUCAUUAUGCUUAUUUUUGCACUCCCUUUAAUGUAUCUUUUUAUAUUGAUGGACAAGGGCAAUAAUCCUCUUCUAAAGUGCAUAUUUUUCGGUCACUAUAUUGAUUUUGUGUUGUUGACUUGGAGGUGUAUUGUUUGAUCCAUGGAAUGAUUUGGACUGAUAUCAGAUGCUUAUAUCGACGAUAUUGUCGAGAUGUGAUAACUUAGGGAUAAUUAUUGUCGUGGAAUUCAUAUUAUCUGUACUAUUUAACAUUAGAGAUAGUUACUGCUACAAUGACAGUUGAUACUAUCUAGUGAAAGAGAUGAUUACUACUUGAACAAAGUACUUCAUAUCAUCUGGAAAAAAAUAGAUAUUUGUUUAUACGGUAAGCAAUUCAUAAUACAUAAAAUGUAAGAUGACUACAGGAACCAUUGUAUUUGUAAAUGUUGUCGUGCGCUCACGCUUCGUACUCAUUAUGUUUAUAGAUUUUCUUGAAUACAAUAAACUAAUCUCA